UGGGGAAUAUUGCACAAUGGGGGAAACCCUGAUGCAGCAACGCCGCGUGCGGGAUGACGGCCUUCGGGUUGUAAACCGCUUUCAGCCAUGACGAAGCUUUUGUGACGGUAGUGGCAGAAGAAGCACCGGCUAACUACGUGCCAGCAGCCGCGGUGAUACGUAGGGUGCGAGCGUUGUCCGGAAUUAUUGGGCGUAAAGAGCUUGUAGGCGGUUUGUCGCGUCGAAAGUGUAAACUCAGUGCUUAACGCUGAGCCUGCUUUCGAUACGGGCUGGCUAGAGGAAGGUGGGGGAGAAUGGAAUUCCCGGUGGAGCGGUGGAAUGCGCAGAUAUCGGGAGGAACACCAGUGGCGAAGGCGGUUCUCUGGACCUUUCCUGACGCUGAGAAGCGAAAGCGUGGGUAGCAAACAGG
rnacentral:rRNA from 1 species